rnacentral:rRNA from 1 species
AGCAAUUAUACAGCGAAACUGCGAAUGGCUCAUUAAAUCAGUUAUCGUUUAUUUGAUAGUACCUUACUACUUGGAUAACCGUGGUAAUUCUAGAGCUAAUACAUGCUAAAAACCCCAACUCACGAAGGGGUGUAUUUAUUAGAUUAAAAGCCAAUGCCCUUCGGGGCUCACUGGUGAUUCAUAAUAACUUGUCGAAUCGCAUGGCCUUGUGCCGGCGAUGGUUCAUUCAAAUUUCUGCCCUAUCAACUUUCGACGGCUGGGUCUUGGCCAGCCAUGGUGACAACGGGUAACGGAGGGUUAGGGCUCGACCCCGGAGAACGAGCCUGAGAAACGGCUAUUACAUCCAAGGAAGGCAGCAGGCGCGCAAAUUACCCAAUACCGAUUCGGUGAGGUAGUGACGAUAAAUACUGAUACAGGGCUCUUUUGGGUCUUGUAAUUGGAAUGAGUACAAUUUAAAUCCCUUAACGAGGAACAAUUGGAGGGCAAGUCUGGUGCCAGCAGCCGCGGUAAUUCCAGCUCCAAUAGCGUAUAUUAAAGUUGUUGCAGUUAAAAAGCUCGUAGUUGAACCUUGGGCCUGGCUGGCCGGUCCGCCUCACCGCGUGCACUGGUCCGGCCGGGUCUUUCCCUCUGGGGAACCGCAUGCCAUUUAUUUGACGUGUCGGGGAACCAGGACUUUUACUUUGAAAAAAUUAGAGUGUUCAAAGCAGGCCUAUGCUCGAAUACAUUAGCAUGGAAUAAUAGAAUAGGACGUGUGGUUCUAUUUUGUUGGUUUCUAGGACCGCCGUAAUGAUUAAUAGGGACAGUCGGGGGCAUCAGUAUUCAAUUGUCAGAGGUGAAAUUCUUGGAUUUAUUGAAGACUAACUACUGCGAAAGCAUUUGCCAAGGAUGUUUUCAUUAAUCAGGAACGAAAGUUAGGGGAUCGAAGACGAUUGAUCUGGUCGUCCACAGUGCUCCGGCGCUAGUCCGCCUCCCGGCGGGC